AAACCUACGGGGCGCAGCAGUGGGGGAUAUUGCACAAUGGGGGGAACCCUGAUGCAGCGACGCCGCGUGGGCGAUGGAGUACUUCGGUAUGUAAAGCCCUAUCAGCAGGGAAGAAAAUGACGGUACCUGACUAAGAAGCCCCGGCUAAAUACGUGCCAGCAGCCGCGGUAAUACGUAUGGGGCAAGCGUUAUCCGGAUUUACUGGGUGUAAAGGGAGCGUAGGCGGCCUGGCAAGCCUGAUGUGAAAUACCGGGGCCCAACCCCGGAACUGCUUUGGAAACUGUACAGCUAGAGUGCAGGAGGGG
rnacentral:rRNA from 1 species